AUUGAACGCUGGCGGCAUGCCUAACACAUGCAAGUCGAACGGCAGCACAGUAAAGAUUUCGGUCUUUAUGGGUGGCGAGUGGCGGACGGGUGAGUAAUGCGUAGGAAUCUGUCCUGGAGAGUGGGAUAACCCGAGGAAACUCGGGCUAAUACUGCAUGAUAUCGAGAGAUCAAAGGCAGGGGCCCCUUCGGGGCCUUGCGCUCUAGGAUGAGCCUACGUCGGAUUAGCUAGUUGGUGGGGUAAAGGCCUACCAAGGCGACGAUCCGUAGCUGGUCUGAGAGGAUGACCAGCCACACUGGGACUGAGACACGGCCCAGACGCCUACGGGAGGCAGCAGUGGGGAAUCUUGGACAAUGGGGGAAACCCUGAUCCAGCGAUGCCGCGUGUGUGAAGAAGGCCUUCGGGUUGUAAAGCACUUUAGUUGGGGAAGAAAAGUAAUGAGUGAAUAACUGAUUGCUCUGACGGUACCCAAAGAAUAAGCACCGGCUAACUCUGUGCCAGCCGCCGCGGUAA
rnacentral:rRNA from 1 species